rnacentral:rRNA from 1 species
UGGGUGAUCUGCCCUGCACUUCGGGAUAAGCCUGGGAAACUGGGUCUAAUACCGGAUAUGACCAUUGGUUGCAUGACUGGUGGUGGAAAGCUUUUGCGGUGUGGGAUGGGCCCCGCGGCCUAUCAGCUUGUUGGUGGGGUAAUGGCCUACCAAGGCGACGACGGGUAGCCGGCCUGAGAGGGCGACCGGCCACACUGGGACUGAGACACGGCCCAGACCUCCGUACGGGAGCA